AUUGAAGGGCUGGCUGCCCCUGGGGAAGGAUCUCUUUCUGGUGAUCUCUCUUUGGUGGAUUUUUCCUGUAAGCCUGGAUCUUCAAAGAUAGACCUCUUCAAAGAGAGAAGAAAAUGAUAAAUCAUGUUGGCUUUCGAGUGCCCACCAGCCAUGUGAAGUUAGAAAGGAAGGAAGAACAGAAUGAAGUCCUAACUGAAACCUGAAGCUGGCUUUCAUGUAGGGAUGUGAAAUUACAGAUUUGUCACCCACAGUGGUUUUCUGUAUCUGGAUUUCAAGGGCAAACGUGGAAUUUAUCCAGGAGGGAAAACAAAAAUGGGAGUGAGUUCAGAAACGUUAGAAGAAAGAAAGCAAAGCAGGACAACAAGCAGACAAGUCCUGAGAGGGAGGAACAGCUGGGGAGUCUGGUGAACUCUUAUCCCACUCCGUAGGGCUCAUGGAGCCUGAGCAUGACAGCACUCAUUUCUGAGUGUGACUUUACCUUACCCCUCAGGAACCAGCCAUCUCUGGAAGGAUUAUUUUUCUUUAUAAAGCUGUGAAUAACUCACUCCCAUUUCUUUUAUUACAUUAUGGGUUCUAGCUGGGAUUCAUCCAGCUGUUUCCUGGGGAAUAAAACCUUAGCCUACAGAGCCACUGCCAAGUGCACCAAAGCUGUCAGUGUGAAACAUAUUACACGUUCCUUGGGCUGUUAAAUGCUGGCAUUUCUGAGGCUGAUCAAAUUGGUUUCCUCAAAAGUGUCAGAAUCAGCUAACGAUUUGCCAAAAUCCAGACAAACUUAGUAAUGCUUUCAAUGUCCCUGAUAAGACUCUUAAAAAUAAUAAUAAAUUGUGGUUGAUCUUUG